UUUGUGUUCAGCGAUGUCUCCCGAGUAAAACAGUACCCCCCAUGUACAGGUUUUAUAGCAUUUUUGAAAGUUACAAGGUCAAAUAUAUGGGUCAAAUAUUUUUACAUUGAAAAUGGCCUGGUUGGUUACUAGAGAUGUCGCGAACGAUUUAGUUUUUUUACUUUUUUCACACACAAACAAAUAUGAAUGCUUACUUUGGCCAGUGUUUUCGACUAAGUGGCUACUAAAAAAGACUGGACAUACCCCAUAUUGAAUACCCUGGGUUGUCUACUUUAAAAAAAAUAUGUACAUGUGGGGUGUUAUUCAGAGAUUUAU